GUAGGUUAGUCAUAAAGCCACAUUCACUCUCUUGCUUUCUCUGUCGCAUGCACUCUCUUGCCCUUCCACCUAGUUUCCAUGUUAUGAUGCAGCAAGAAGGCCCUUGCCAGAUGUGGCUCCUGGAUUGUGGACUUUUCAGCCCCCAGAACUGUGAGCCAAACAAACUUCUUUUGUUCAUAACUUCCCCAGUCUGUGAUAUCCUGUUACAGCAGCAGAAAAUGGACUAAGACACCCAGGGAUGUACCUGGAACCUGGAAAAAGGGGCAGAUCUGCAUCACGGGCUUGCAUGUCCAAUUUCACCUUGGCACUUGCUUCUCCGAGGGUCUGGACAUGGGGCUUCGUUUGAGUCUGGAAGCAGUGGAGAGGGGCCAGAAGCUCCAGGCCUUGGCUUGGAGAUCUCUACAGGAAAGGAGGCACUGAGGGACUCACAUGAAGCUACUCUGUCAGCAUUCUAAAACUUCUGACAUUCUUUUCUAUGAAGAUAAUUGAAUCACCAAAUUUGAUGAAAUGUUCCCCAAAUAUCAGGUGAAAAAAACUCAUCUAAACCUUUGGACUUGGAAUUGCCCACAUAGACCACAUCAGCAAUGGAAGACAGAGCAAAUAACAUGUCGGUUCAAUGUAUGAAGGAGCUUUUCUUUCCCCUGCCCCAACCCUCAGACAGAACACCAGAGAAAGACUCUCCUUACCAUCCUCACUGCAACUAAACUUCGGGACCCUGGGCUUUGGGUUCAUGGUCUCGCCACUGAAAAGGUUCCCUCCACACUUUUGGAAUUGUGCACCCAUUGGAACCCUUGAGGUAAAGCUAACCAGAGAAAUUUCUCCCAAGAAGAAGAAGAUGGCAUCCUUGAAGUGAACAGCUUUUCCCAAGUUCACAGAGUAAGACUUCUACUAUCAUGAAACUCUUAUCUUUGAAUAUUUUUUCUUGCUUAUAUCUCUACUAACAAUAGAAGUGGAAAAAGGGUCUGUUAUGUGCACUUAUGGGGUAUACUUUUAUUUGUGAAGAAGUUUGCAGCCAGCCUUAUACAUGGAUAACCUUCUACUUUGAUAGAGAUGAAGGCCCAAUGCAGGUAAGAAACUUUAGUGGUACAUAUGUUGCCCCAUAAUCACUCAAAAACAAAAUAUUGGUUCAUCCCUCUUAACCCACAUCAUGGGUUAAAGAGAACAUUGCCAGGGGGUCUUCACUCUCCUAGAAGGGCAUCAUUUGUUAAGUCCUUUUUCCAUGGCUUAAAGUAAAGGAAGCAAUGAUUAGAAAUGUAUCCCUCAUGAUAGGCUCUAUAGCAAAUCUACUUUAAAGGCUAUCGUUACACAACAGAUUUUAAAUUCUCUUUGAAAGUUAUGCUAAAUAGAAUUGGCUAAACAAAGAAGUUCUUCUGCAGCUGCUGACACUUGCGGCCUAUGGAGAAACAGGUCAAAUGCAGAUUAUAAAAAUUCAGUGUAGGGGAUUAAUGAAAAGACCACUUAGUCAAGUGAGUAGACUCUUCAUCUAGCUCAUUCUUUAAACUAUUUAAGUGUAGGUGGUUUGGUUUCUAGGGACCCUGGUUAAGGAGCAUACUCUGAACUCUGGGUAUUUUCCUUCCAGUAGUGAUAAUAGUAGUCUCCUUGGUGCACUGUAUUCUCUCAAAGGUUUUAAAUGCUUGCAUGCAGCCAUCUCUAGAACAUCAAAUGGUCUCUCUUCGACUGGAAUGACAACAGCUGAAAGAAAUGUUCAACCAUGAGGACACCAUACCUAUAAAUGAUGUGCUGAGACUGGAAACCCAAAAUGUUGGUAACUGAGAAGUGGCACUAAGGCCCUAAGUUUUGGUUGCACACUCACCUAAGUGAGAACCUGACCAAAAAGGGGGGAUUUUUAAAACAAAACUCUGUGAGGCCAUUGUUUUGGACUAAGCUCAUGCACUCAUGCCCUGGGCCCCAACAGACUAAAGCAAACACAGAUGGAGUCAUUUGUGCUAAGACUUUAAGGAAACGCUUGGAUUCCACAACAGACUAGCUUUUGUUUUUUUCUUCUGCAAAUCUCUAUAACAAACAUUUCUGACAACAUAGGUAUCCACCCCCUGAAGUUCCCAUUAAAUCUUUUAACCAAAUUCAUUUCCUCUCACCUAGAGACCAUCAAGCUUCAGAUGAUGAUGCAACAAAGGUUUCAGCCAGUUCCAGGUGAAGACACCACCCUUGGACAUCAAGAAGCUACCCUGCCUCCACUAGAUAGAGCAGGGAGAGUUCUGUGAUCCCCAAUAGGGCCUUUGUAGACGCUAUCCCUUUGUGGAGAAGACUCUCAACACCCUUCAAAUACUAUGAUCUCAUCAGGAAGGCCCUCCCUGACCACCUAUGCCUGGCUGUUGUCUGAACAAUGAAUCCUGGAAGCACCUAGGAGAAGGCACCUAGGAGAAACGUCUUAGGGAGUAGUCCCGCGGGUCCGCCCCAGGACAGUAACGCUGUCAGUUUCCCCGCCCUUUGCACCUGUAGUGCAGACGGUACCAAAUGCGAUGGCUUUGAGACGUCCUCUAGACAUCGGAGCCCAUCAUUUACCACAAAGAACACUGAAGUACUUACUUUAGCAGAACAUUUUCCGAAGAAAAAUUAACAGGGAGAGGAAAUGAAGGACACUAACAAACAGACCCCAUCUCUAGAGUCUGAGAUCAAACCCAAGUCCGAUGGAGCCCGGGCAUCUGGUGGAGGAAAGCGGGCAGGCAUAGCCCCAAUCCUGGUCCUCAACAAGAUAUUUCUGUGAAUGAAUCCCUCUGCUCCCUGGAGGAGGGCACAUUACAUAUCCCUUUCCUAAAUCAGAACUGAAGCAAUUUGCCCAUCAUUCGCACACCUCGACAGGGAAAGGCAGGAUUCCAGUGUCUCAUCAGACCCGGGAAGAGGGGAAGGGUCGCUGGCGCAGUUACCUACUGGGUUUCCGGGAGCUAGGGAAAACGCCCCUGGGAAACGCAAGUGUUCAGCGCCACAUAAAACUUCCCCGGAUUUAGGGCCACCCUAAGACGGGCGAAAAGACUCUCCAGCGCCUUAGCAGGUGCAAAGCCAGCUGUCAGUGUGCGCAUGGCGAGUCCCCGUUCCCGAGAAGGGACGCAAAUGACCCUAGAAAAUCAGACAGGAGCAAAACAAACCCAAGAAUGACCCUCCACACACCACAAAGGCAAAAGCAAACAGAAGGCACCUAGACACACUCUGCAAAGUGUAGAACUGUCUACACUUGCAUGGAGG
rnacentral:lncRNA from 1 species